rnacentral:rRNA from 1 species
AUUGAACGCUGGCGGCAUGCUUUACACAUGCAAGUCGAACGGUAACAGGCCGCAAGGUGCUGACGAGUGGCGAACGGGUGAGUAAUGCAUCGGAACGUGCCCAGCCGUGGGGGAUAACGCAGCGAAAGCUGCGCUAAUACCGCAUACGAUCUAUGGAUGAAAGCGGGGGACCGUAAGGCCUCGCGCGAUUGGAGCGGCCGAUGUCAGAUUAGGUAGUUGGUGGGGUAAAGGCUCACCAAGCCAACGAUCUGUAGCUGGUCUGAGAGGACGACCAGCCACACUGGGACGGAGACACGGCCCAGACUCCUACGGGAGGCAGCAGUGGGGAAUUUUGGACAAUGGGCGCAAGCCUGAUCCAGCAAUGCCGCGUGCGGGAAGAAGGCCUUCGGGUUGUAAACUGCUUUUGUACGGAACGAAACGGCUCUGGUUAAUACCUGGGGCUAAUGACGGUACCGUAAGAAUAAGCACCGGCUAACUACGUGCCAGCCGCCGCAGUAA